AAGGGAGAGGCCCCUCGGGAUCGGCUUGCAGGAGCAGGUCUCAAACCGCCACAAGCUGCCUGGAUCAAGAGUCCCGGUGGUGAACGUUCUGGUUAAAAGGCUCCGCUGGAUGGAGUCAGGU
rfam:Desulfurella amilsii strain TR1 opera_scaffold_1, whole genome shotgun sequence.